rnacentral:rRNA from 1 species
GACGAACGCUGGCGGCGCGCCUAACACAUGCGAGUCGAACGAGCGAGAGGAGGUUUCCUUUCUCAAGCGAGUGGCGAACGGGUGAGUAACGCGUGAGGAACCUGCCUCAAAGAGGGGGACAACAGUUGGAAACGACUGCUAAUACCGCAUAAGCCCACGACCCGGCAUCGGGUAGAGGGAAAAGGAGCAAUCCGCUUUGAGAUGGCCUCGCGUCCGAUUAGCUAGUUGGUGAGGUAAUGGCCCACCAAGGCGACGAUCGGUAGCCGGACGGAGAGGUGGAAGGGGCAGAUGGGGAGUAAGGCGCGCAGCGGACGCCUGCCGGAGGCAGCGGUGGGGCGUAGUGGAAGAUGGUGUUCGGCUGUAUACCGCGUCUUCGCGUGGAGGAAAAAGGUGUUCGGAUAGAAGGAUCCGGCUGUUGACGACGAUCAUGAAGCUGCUGAAAAAGAAAGGGACGCCUACCUUCGUG